UCUCUCUCACGUUGCUUUCAAUUUGCCCAAAGCUAACGUCUCCCCCCCCCGUCUUUUCUCGCGCAUAGGACUGCACGUCGGUCGAAGAAGGCGAUCGCAUUUGCACGCGCGAAGAUGGAAUCCGGGAAAUCCCCGGCGGAAGCCCUGCGAGCUAGUUUCUUUCUUGAAUACGCGGGGAGGGAGUAUGAAUGUCUCUCUCUCUCCCUCCCCCUCCUCAUUACGCGUGUGUGUGUAUGUGUAUGUAGUCGCCACGAAAGGGCUCGCUUCAUCCCCAAAUUUGAAUCUCGACCGUCUCGCGUGUGACUUGAUCUUCAGUGCACCGUUGUUGAUCAUCGCCCGGAAGCCGCCGAAAUUUCGCUGCAAAUAAUCCUCCUUGAUCGCUUUUGGUGCGUAACGGCUUUAUAAAGUACGUUUUUCUAUGCUCCGUGUAAAUUCGCUUCCGCUAAUUCAGUCCGCUAAUCGCGCGGACGCAGCACCGAUCUUCGAAAAGUUCACGCGAAUCGAAUCGAUGUUCUCUCUCUCUCUCUCUCUCUCUCUCUCUCGUGACGAAGCGCAACGACGCACAAUGAUUACGUUCCGAGAUGAAUUUGAAUGGAAGGGAAAAUGCGAGGAAAGGGAGGUCUUUCCGCGGGGACGUCGCUACGAGAGAUCGCUUAAUUCGCGCGUUCUUUAUCGAAAAGACGGGACAGAAGACGGGACGCAAGAGGGAAGUUAACGAGAUUCAGCGCGAGGCGCGAGAAACGGUGUUGUAAUCGUCGUCGGGAAGAGUACGCAGAACUUGGGCGAACGACGAAAAAAAAAAAGAGAGAGAGAGGAACGGACGGUCGUUUUCCGCGUUGUUUGAUCGCGCGUUCACCGAUCGAGAAUCCGGCGCGAACGGUCGAGACCACGCGAGAAAGAACGCGCAGCCUCUCGAGAGAUACGUAUAUACACGGCCGAAUUUAGCACGUUUGUUCUCCCUAGUGUGUACCAACCGCUGUUAUUGGCACAAACAAUACAUCUGCGCCACGUACGAUCCGCACACACACACACAUUCUACUCAGCCACCCGCCCGACCGGCGGGUGGGUCGCGGGAGAGAACGUGUUAAUCGUCACUAUGAAGCGGAAUGAAUUACUGUAGCGAGGCGUAGUGUUUUUUUCUCUCACACGGUACAUACACACACACACACACACACACACACAGGACACAGCGCGUCCCCGCGAAAUUUAAGAUUCACCGAGUGUCGCUCCGUAUGUGUGAGCGCGUGUGUGCAUGUUUGUUGCGUGGUUGUUAUGUGUAUUACAAUAAUGGCGACGACGAUUAUGACGAUGAUGAUGAUGAUGAUGAUGAUGGCGCGAGGGAACGGCGCUAUUCGGCCGGUCGACACUGUGUUGAUAAUACGCGGUGUUGAUGUACUUUGGGAACGGACACGCGGACUUUCCGAUCUCGGAUGCGCACGAUUGCGACGAGGACUGCCAGGAGGCAGAAAUGAAGAACGAAGAAAGAAAGAAGGAACGAACGAACGAACGAACGAACGAACGGGCUACCUUCCCGCGCUUCGCACGCUGCAUAUUUCCGUCUGAUUUCUCUUAACGCGAACACGUUCCUUCGUAUGAUUCCUCGCCGAUGAAGACCACGACGGCGACGAUGAGGAAAGGUCUACGCAUCUCUCGAAGAGAUCGCAAGCUCUCCGAUUCUCCGUUCGAUUUCGCAACAGAAUAUAUCCCAGGUAUAAUUACACUGUUCUUAUUAAAGAAGGAAAAAGGAAAAAAUGGAAAAAAAGCAAAAUAUCGACGUGGUGCGAUCGCGUCCCGGGGAGCGAAGAAGCGUCUCGAGGGAAGACGCAUACAUCUCGGGAACGCUCGCGAUCCCGACGGGAGAGGAGGGAGGAACGAUUGCGAGAUUCGAAAUUUCGAUUUGCGCUUGAGUAUUUAAGAGAGCUCACCCGCUCGGAGUUCGGCUUUGAGUUGCUGGCGUGAAACGUCCAUUUCCACUUUCAGCGUGUCCCGCCCGACGAGAAUCAAGGGGCUCGGAGAACACUCGCUCGUCCUCUUCGAGAACGCCGUGAGGUCGGAGGAGGAGGAGAGCAACGGUGGAGCUUUUCUCUAUCUCUCUCACGCGCAUACGGUACACCACACUCCAUCCAGAUCCACGUCCAAAUGCCAACCAACCUUAGUGAAGCAGUAAUAACGAUAAUAACGAUAACGAUAAUGAUUACUAAAUAAUUAAUACCGAAGACAUCGCGCUAAGUAUAAGGGGAACGUAAGAAGCCGGAGGAGGGAGCGAGAAAGACAAACCUGACGCGGGAUGUGACGCGAGGACGAUGCGGAUGUGACGCGAGGACGGCAGGAUUCAGGAUGAGACGUCGGGGAUCCCAAGGAUGCCGAGACGAGACGUCGAACAUUCGACGACGAAAGAGGGAGCGAGAGUCGUUGCUCCGACAUGCGAGCGAUCGCGUCGGCUCGGUCUGACAUGACCGGUGCGUCGCUCGAUAUAUUGCGGAACGUUGAGGACGAUUUCGAAAGAACUGAAAUAAGUUUCAGUUGUGAGGAACUUCGGGCCGUCGAUCAGUGAUUCUCAGAUUUUCCGCAUCGCGGCUGCGCGACAAGACGCCACGGAUGUCAUCCUGGGUUCUUGGGCUUGACUUCCGGCUUAAUUCGAUUUAUACAUCCAAUUCCUCUCAUAUUUAAUCUCUCUAUUUAAUACGACGUAUAUUUGUUUUGUAUUAUUUCACUGUGAGAGUAAAAAGUCAAGCCUCUGUUUUCAUGUUAUCCCUCGGCGAGAUAAUGCAUUGCGUUCACUUCAAGCUGGGGCCAAAUCUGAGGACCACUGAGGCGCGCACUAUAUUUGCACUAUAACCGCACAGUAGCGCUUGUACCUCCGCGAGUCCAUUGCAUAAACGAUUCGGCCUAAUUUUUCACAUCCGGAGUGAUAUUUUACUUGACACACACGCACGCACGCACGCGCGCGCGCGGUCGCGCGCGUGCGCGCGUCAAGAUUUUAACGACGGGCAAGAGAGUGUGGUCCUAUUUGUACCUUCGCCUUUCGGCUUUCGAUGUGUCGCGAUUGUGUAACGGAGAUUAAAAUAUUCUUACUCAAUGUUGAACACAGUUGUUAGUGGGCUCUGAAUUAAAGAAAACCAAAAAAAAAAUCGAGAAAAAAGGUAGAGAGAGAAAGAACAAAAAAAAAACACACACACACAUACACACAGACAGAGAAAAGGAAGAAGACGAAGAGUCUGGUGCGGCAGCGGAAGAGUAGUGAUAUCUAGAUGUAAGUCGCGCGCGGCUGUUGCGAUUCACGAGACUCGAGGCGAAUUUAACUGCACGAACACGAAACGAGUCGCCGACAAUCUUUCUUACUACGACGCGGGAGUCCGAGAGAGGAGAGAAAAAGAGAGAGAGAGAAAGCGAAGGAGAGAGAGAGAGAGAGAGAGAGAGAGAAUCGAUGGACCUACCUGGAGCGAUCGAAAGCUCGGGACUUGUGCGUGACGGCUCUUGAAUGCUCGUGUUGUCGUCCGGGCAUCCAUCCGGCCACCGUUUAGAAGCUAUCAUCGUCUCACCGGUUGUUCCGUCGCAUCGAGAACGUCACACCGGACACCGCUUGAGCGACGAUGACAGGAGGAGAGCAACUAUCCCCGCAGCAGCCCCGCGUGUUUCUUGACGCGAAACUCCAGCUUGUCCUGUCGCACCUUCUGUCGCGAAGCUCUCUGCUUUCUCGGAGGAUUCUGUUUGGCUUGACACGUGUACAUGUACGUAUCGUUAGCGCUUGUGCGCCGCUUUAGGCUGGAUCUGCGACAGGUGUGGUAAUACCUUGAGCUCUGAGCGCCAAAUUGUAACGUAAUUCCUGGCGGAAAGCGUUUCCAGCGCUGCCGGACGUCGCAAUUCGGAGGAUUUAACCGCUGGGGCGGUUGCAAAGUCGUACAGUCGCAGUCGUUCGAGUCGGCCCAAUUCCAGGGAAUACACAGGAAGAAAGGUUUCUUUGGAUUUGGUGUUUGUUUCACUUGGACCAAAAAGCUGAAGGCUUACCGCACCUAUGGUAGAUCCGGAUUUACGCCGAUCGUCGUUGCUCCACGCCGAUCCGCUCGAUCGUGCUUUGGAUUUCGCGCCGCCACGAAGUCCCCUGUGCUGUCACGCGAGGAUAUUGUAUGUUAUGAAUUACGAAUUAUAUAUUAUACAUCAUUUUUUAUUUACGUUA